rnacentral:tRNA from 1 species
GUUUUAAUAAUUUAUCAAAAAUAUUGGUCUUGUAAACCAAAAAAGAGAAUAUUCUCUUAAAACU